GUGAAAUUGUUGAAAGGGAAACGAUUGAAGUCAGUCGUGCUGGCGCGAAAUCAAACCCUCUCGUCUUGAGAUCACAUGGCGCGACGAGCCUCAAAACCGUCACGAAGCGUGAUCGCUUGAUGAAAAGGUGCACUUUCGUGUCCGCUGGUUAACAUCAAUUUCGAUCGUCAUAAAAAGGCUGGAGGGAUGUGGCUCCUUCGGGGAGUGUUAUAACCUUUAGCGGAAUGUGGUGUUCGGGAUUGAGGAUUGCAACGGAUACCCUUUCGGGGCUACUCGUCUGAUCUCUGAUCGUUACUCUGGUGCUGAAAGCUUGCUUACGGUUAUCAAAGUUGAUGGUUAAUAAGUUAGAACGGGUUAAAUUCGUUAAGGAUGUUGACGUAAUGGCUUUAAACGAC
rnacentral:rRNA from 1 species